rnacentral:rRNA from 1 species
CUAGUAAGAUCCCUGAAAGAUGAUCAGGUUGAUAGGUCAGAGGUGGAAGCGCGGUGACGUGUGGAGCUGACUGAUACUAAUCGAUCGAGGACUUAACCUUA